AUUGAACGCUGGCGGAAUGCUUUACACAUGCAAGUCGAGCGGCAGCGCGGGGCAACCUGGCGGCGAGCGGCGAACGGGUGAGUAAUGUAUCGGAACGUACCCAAUCGUGGGGGAUAACGCACCGAAAGGUGUGCUAAUACCGCAUACGUCCUGAGGGAGAAAGCGGGGGAUCGCAAGACCUCGCGCGAUUGGAGCGGCCGAUAUCUGAUUAGCUAGUUGGUGGGGUAAAGGCCUACCAAGGCGACGAUCAGUAGCUGGUCUGAGAGGACGACCAGCCACACUGGGACUGAGACACGGCCCAGACUCCUACGGGAGGCAGCAGUGGGGAAUUUUGGACAAUGGGCGAAAGCCUGAUCCAGCCAUUCCGCGUGAGUGAAGAAGGCCUCGGUUGGUAAGUACGUCUUUCGGUCGUA
rnacentral:rRNA from 1 species